rnacentral:rRNA from 1 species
GUUAAGCGACUAAGCGUACACGGUGGAUGCCCUGGCAGUCAGAGGCGAUGAAGGACGUGCUAAUCUGCGAUAAGCGUCGGUAAGGUGAUAUGAACCGUUAUAACCGGCGAUUUCCGAAUGGGGAAACCCAGUGUGUUUCGACACACUAUCAUUAACUGAAUCCAUAGGUUAAUGAGGCGAACCGGGGGAACUGAAACAUCUAAGUACCCCGAGGAAAAGAAAUCAACCGAGAUUCCCCCAGUAGCGGCGAGCGAACGGGGAGCAGCCCAGAGCCUGAAUCAGUGUGUGUGUUAGUGGAAGCGUCUGGAAAGGCGCGCGAUACAGGGUGACAGCCCCGUACACAAAAAUGCACAUGCUGUGAGCUCGAUGAGUAGGGCGGGACACGUGGUAUCCUGUCUGAAUAUGGGGGGACCAUCCUCCAAGGCUAAAUACUCCUGACUGACCGAUAGUGAACCAGUACCGUGAGGGAAAGGCGAAAAGAACCCCGGCGAGGGGAGUGAAAAAGAACCUGAAACCGUGUACGUACAAGCAGUGGGAGCACGCUUCGGCGUGUGACUGCGUACCUUUUGUAUAAUGGGUCAGCGACUUA